rnacentral:rRNA from 1 species
UGGGGAAUAUUGCGCAAUGGGGGCAACCCUGACGCAGCCAUGCCGCGUGAAUGAAGAAGGCCUUCGGGUUGUAAAGUUCUUUCGGUGAUGAGGAAGGUUGGUGUGUUAAUAGCAUGCCAAAUUGACGUUAAAUACAGAAGAAGCACCGGCUAACUCCGUGCCAGCAGCCGCGGUAAUACGGGGGGUGCGAGCGUUAAUCGGAAUAACUGGGCGUAAAGGGCACGUAGGCGGACCUUUAAGUGAGGUGUGAAAUCCCCGGGCUUAACCUGGGAAUUGCAUUUCAUACUGGGGGUCUGGAGUACUUUAGGGAGGGGUAGAAUUCCACGUGUAGCGGUGAAAUGCGUAGAGAUGUGGAGGAAUACCGAAGGCGAAGGCAGCCCCUUGGGGAUGUACUGACGCUGAUGUGCGAAAGCGUGGGGAGCAAACAGGAUUAGAUACCCUGGUAGUCCACGCUGUAAACGGUGUCGAUUUGGGGAUUGGGGUUUAGCCCUGGUGCCCGAAGCUAACGUGAUAAAUCGACCGCCUGGGGAGUACGGCCGCAAGGUUA